AAUAACUGAUUGCCAUGAGAGAAACACCAAAUAAUGUGCUUCGCAAAUUUGAAGGAGGGAGAGACCUGGCUGAAGGGACCGGAAGGUACGUGGAGGAGGCAAGCUUUGAGCUGAAUCUUCUUGGAAGAGAGGUCGAGGACUUGUACAGGCAGAAAUAAGAGGAAGGCAGACUACCCAGGAAAACUCUGAGACUCAGAUGUAGAGACCAGGGAGUGAAAGUAGUUUAAUUUGCUGAGCAUUACAGGAUCCCUGAAGGCGAAGAAUGGAAGAAAAUGUUACAAAGUAGACUGCGACCAGAUCAGAGAAGACCUUGAGAAUUUGAUCUGAAUCUGGUAGAAAAUAGAGAACCGUCACACGUUUUCAGGCAGAGGAACAAAAUCAGAGCUUGCUCUAGAAAGAUUAAGAACAAGCAUAAAAUAGAUUAGAGGGAAGGCGUACAGACUUAAGAGGGAUCACUUAAGAAUUACUUCACUAGUUCAGGGAAGAGCCCGAAAGCAGGGGACCCACCACACACAUGCUCCACAUGUGCAGAGCCUAGACGUGCACACACAGGCAGAUGACCUCCGUCAGCAGCUACGCGACAGUCACCCAGGAAAUGUGACGCGGCUUCUAUAGGACAGUUUCUCUUCCCCAAGAACUUCCUGACAGGUAUUUGGACAGUACUCAGAUUAAGAAAUUCAAAGAGGUAUCCGAUGCCCUAUUUAUUUUGGGAACUGUUCUCUGAACGUAAUUCUGUGACUAAAUGAGAGCGGCUUCUCUCCCGGACCUGGUGGCCCCAGCCUGCCCCCUCCCCACCCACACCCUGUGUUCCUGUGGCUCUUUGGAAAGAGAGCACAGGCUCAGGAUGGAAGAAUUUCGUUUUUGAGUUAAAUAAGUCCACUCGAAGUUCCAGAGGAGGGGCCUGGCAGAGACCGCGUUCUGAUCAUAGGGGCGUGGGCGAGGAAAACUCUGAUAAGCUCCACGGUGAAGGGGUGAAGGAAUCGGCAGUGGGAGAGCAGAGCGCCAAGGCAAAGGGAACGUUCACUUCACACCCGGGCAGCCCUCCUGUCGGGAGAUUCUGAGACAACGGAACAGACAGACAAUGGGAUUGAGGCCACCUCCGCCCGGAACCACCCUGGACAGCGCCCUUUAGGAAACAAUUGGAGGUGAGGGGAAAGCUCGGGAUAAACCCACGGCUCCAAGCUGCCCACGCAGGCUGACGGAUCCUGGAGGAUACACCCCUCUGAAGAGAAUAGGAGGCAACCAGGAAAAGGAUGAGAAACUAAGUGAAAUUCUAAAUUAGGGUUUCUUCAAAAUGGUGUCAUCACGGCAGGCACAUCAGACCACAAAAGUGAUCAGCACCACUUUCCAGCGCUACCUGGAGAAUCAAAGGGAGCCCUGAACAUAAAGACGGACACGGGCUCCCUUUACGUCCCGCCCAUGCCCAGGCCCCGCUCCCUCCCGCUUUUCCAGCCGCGCCGUGGCAGCUCCCCCAGCCCUCCGUCUCUACCCCGAGUUCAGACGGGCUCAUCCCAGAGGAGACGGGGCCAGGCCCCAAGGCCGCCAGCUGGCUGGUGGGAGCCCGGCUGCCCAGAGGCACAGAGAAAACGGACACCUGCUCAAAACCUCUCCGCCUUCUCCCUUCCCUGUGGUCAAUGCCUGUUUGUCACCUUGUGGAAGAACAGCGUGAACCGUCUUCUAGAUAAGCACAAGAUAUAAAGGUGGAGCCGUGAGCCUGGGAACCACAGGAGACUGGACGGCGGCUACAGAGGGACUCUGUGCCUUCGGGGACAACGGCAUGCUCCUGUGAAGUCUCCUGACGACCCUGCCUCCAUUUCUGGCCUGGGGAGGGAGUUUUCAAGACAACACCGGCCCAUGGCAGGAGAAUGAGGGUGCUGUGGGCAGGCCUGGGCCAGGCCGGCCUCCCUGCACCCCACUGUGUGGGCAGCCACAUCCACAACUGGGCCAAGGCCCAGCUGCCUGAGGGGCACAGGACUUAGGAACCGGACCACAGGGGAAGUUCUCCCUCCAUGUCAGCCAUUUACAGCACAGCACCAUGUGCAUAGCCUUCUGACAGCGCCUUCUCUACUCCCCGCACCGUGGUAAAGAACAGAUACCCAUCCCCUCCCCUGGGAGGAAAAGCCAACACAGACACCUGUCGAAACUUCUCCCACCCUCCAGAGGUAAAACCCUCAGGUUAAAAUGAAAGACACAUCUCACCCCCUCCAAGAAGUCUGUUCAGAUUGCUCCAAUCAGACUGUAUCUUUCCUCUCUUUGCUUUCUAAAACUCAUGGAGGGCAAAGACCAUUCAUCAACAAAUAUGUGUUAUCAUCUUCUAGGAGCCAGGCCUGAGCUGGGGAUACAGCAAUGAGCAAAGACCACCCUGACUUCCCUCAGGACACUGGCCAUCUGAUUUUUCUUCCUAGGUCCGCUCCUCUCACCCAGCCCAGCUCAUACAGUGCCCAGGCAUACAAAAGCCCUCAAAUGUCCCUUUGAGAGCUCCCUAAGCCUCCCCAGAACCUUGACACUGUUCCUCUGGGUCAUCCCAAGCACGGAGAAAGAGAA
rnacentral:lncRNA from 1 species